GCCGAUAGGAUAGCGGAAAUCCCGAAAUCCUAAAGUUCAUGUUGAGGUCCCAGGUUCGAGUCCUGGUAGAUGCA